CCGGGAUAGCUCAGUCGGUAGAGCAGAGGACUGAAAAUCCUCGUGUCAC
rnacentral:tRNA from 1 species